GGGGCUGUAGCUCAGUGGUAGAGCACUUGCCUCGCAUGCAUGAGGCCCUGGGUUCAAUCCUCAGCUCCA
rnacentral:tRNA from 1 species